ACCAGAACUCUGAACCGUGAUGAGGUGGAGAUGAGACAGAAGGGUGAGAAAUGGCUCGGGAACAAAAGGCAAACUAGGCCUAAACAAAGUGGACCAGUCGACCGACCACAACGCACCGGAUCAGUCGGCCUUCCGACGACCCCGCCGCCCACCACGGCGCUGCUGCUCUACCCACCUGCGCCCGCCGUGGACGCACGUCAUCGGGUCGCUUCCCCUCUCUAUAAGUACCGCUGUGGAGCGAGGGGGCGGAGUUCCCUCCGUUGCCGUACCCGAUCAGCUUCGAACGGAGUUCCUCCACGUCCUGCGAAGCCGUAGGCUGAAUCCCAAUGUUUCGCUCUCCGUUGAGCUUGGGGGACCGGUGACGGAGCCGGUGCAUCGGUCGCCGAUAUUUCCAAGUUCUAGGGAGAUAAUGGAAGCUUGCCCCAGAAGUGAUCUCAAGGGUUUCAAGGAUAGAGUGAUCGAGGAGAAUAUUUAUCUAAAAGUUGAGUUCCUGCUAUUGCACCCAGGCCCCUGCUAAUCUUAAACGGCAUGCCUCAUAUGUGAGCAACUACUAAAAUAUGAUCAAAGCAUGGAAGAUCCUCGCUGCCCUAUUUCUGGUUCAGAUGGGCCUAUUGCUGAGGCAAAUGAGAUAUGCAAAGAGGUUAACUGCAAUGAAAAAAUUAAGUCCAUUGGGGAAGCUGCAAUUGGGCACCAAAAGACUGUCAAUUGGCAACAGAAGCAAGCAUCUGGUUCGACAGGUUCCUUGAAUGAUUCUAAUUGUUCAUCUUGUUCUUGAGUGAUUGAUGAUAGGGAUUA